AUGUGGAGGGCACUGGGUGUCUUCCUGGUUUUCCAGCUGCUGUCAGGUCUUUGCAGUGGGGUGACGGUGACGCAGAAGGAGAAGUUUAUAGCCAUCCAGAAUGGGAGCAAGGGAAGUAUCCCGUGUGAACAUGACGACAAUUCCUACUAUACUGUCCUGUGGUAUCAGCAGAAGAAUGGUGCAGAAAGGCAGCUGCAGUUAGUAGCCACCUCUUUAGAUGUGAAUUCAGCAGAAAUGGAAAAAGAGUUCAAAACCAGAUUCAAUGUGACACGGCCAGCAACACUGAACACCUCCCUGACAAUCAACCCGGGGAUGGUUGAAGACACUGCAGUGUAUUUCUGUGCAGCUAGUAAAGCACAGUGA